GGUUACUGCUAUCGGUGUUCGCAUAAGCCAUGCGAGUCAUAUGUUCUUCGGAACAUGGCGUACUGCUCAGUAACACGUGGAUAACCUGCCCUUGGGUCCGGCAUAACCCCGGGAAACUGGGAAUAAUUCCGGAUAACGCACAUAUGCUGGAAUGCUUUAUGCGUCAAAUGGAUUCGUCCGCCCAAGGAUGGGUCUGCGGCCUAUCAGGUAGUAGUGGGUGUAAUGUACCUACUAGCCUACGACGGGUACGGGUUGUGAGAGCAAGAGCCCGGAGAUGGAUUCUGAGACAUGAAUCCAGGCCCUACGGGGCGCAGCAGGCGCGAAAACUUUACAAUGCGGGAAACCGUGAUAAGGGGACACCGAGUGCCAGCAUCAUAUGCUGGCUGUCCGGGUGUGUAAAAUACACCUGUUAGCAAGGGCCGGGCAAGACCGGUGCCAGCCGCCGCGGUAACACCGGCGGCCCGAGUGGUGAUCGUAAUUAUUGGGUCUAAAGGGUCCGUAGCCGUUUUGGUCAGUCCCCCGGGAAAUCUGACGGCUUAACCGUUAGGCUUUCGGGGGAUACUGCCAGACUUGGAACCGGGAGAGGUAAGAGGUACUACAGGGGUAGGAGUGAAAUCUUGCAAUCCCUGUGGGACCACCUGUGGCGAAGGCGUCUUACCAGAACGGGUUCGACGGUGAGGGACGAAAGCUGGGGGCACGAACCGGAUUAGAUACCCGGGUAGUCCCAGCCGUAAACGAUGCUCGCUAGGUGUCAGGCAUGGCGCGACCGUGUCUGGUGCCGCAGGGAAGCCGUGAAGCG
rnacentral:rRNA from 1 species